UACGGAGGGAGCGAGCGUUGUUCGGAAUCACUGGGCGUAAAGGGCGCGUAGGCGGUCGGGUAAGUCGGGUGUGAAAUUCCGGGGCUCAACCCCGCGAACUGCAUCCGAUACUGCUCGACUAGAGAGAGGUAGGGGCGAGUAGAAUUCCCGGUGUAGCGGUGGAAUGCGUAGAUAUCGGGAAGAACACCGGUGGCGAAGGCGGCUCGCUGGGCCUUAUCCGACGCUGAAGCGCGAAAGCGUGAGGAGCAAACAGG
rnacentral:misc_RNA from 1 species